CAGUCGAGCGGACAGAUGGGAGCUUGCUCCCUGAUGUUAGCGGCGGACGGGUGAGUAACACGUGGGUAACCUGCCUGUAAGACUGGGAUAACUCCGGGAAACCGGGGCUAAUACCGGAUGGUUGUUUGAACCGCAUGGUUCAGACAUAAAAGGUGGCUUCGGCUACCACUUACAGAUGGACCCGCGGCGCAUUAGCUAGUUGGUGAGGUAACGGCUCACCAAGGCGACGAUGCGUAGCCGACCUGAGAGGGUGAUCGGCCACACUGGGACUGAGACACGGCCCAGACUCCUACGGGAGGCAGCAGUAGGGAAUCUUCCGCAAUGGACGAAAGUCUGACGGAGCAACGCCGCGUGAGUGAUGAAGGUUUUCGGAUCGUAAAGCUCUGUUGUUAGGGAAGAACAAGUGCCGUUCAAAUAGGGCGGCACCUUGACGGUACCUAACCAGAAAGCCACGGCUAACUACGUGCCAGCAGCCGCGGUAAUACGUAGGUGGCAAGCGUUGUCCGGAAUUAUUGGGCGUAAAGGGCUCGCAGGCGGUUUCUUAAGUCUGAUGUGAAAGCCCCCGGCUCAACCGGGGAGGGUCAUUGGAAACUGGGGAACUUGAGUGCAGAAGAGGAGAGUGGAAUUCCACGUGUAGCGGUGAAAUGCGUAGAGAUGUGGAGGAACACCAGUGGCGAAGGCGACUCUCUGGUCUGUAACUGACGCUGAGGAGCGAAAGCGUGGGGAGCGAACAGGAUUAGAUACCCUGGUAGUCCACGCCGUAAACGAUGAGUGCUAAGUGUUAGGGGGUUUCCGCCCCUUAGUGCUGCAGCUAACGCAUUAAGCACUCCGCCUGGGGAGUACGGUCGCAAGACUGAAACUCAAAGGAAUUGACGGGGGCCCGCACAAGCGGUGGAGCAUGUGGUUUUAAUUCGAAGCAACGCGAAAGAACCUUACCAGGUCUUGACAUCCUCUGACAAUCCUAGAGAUAGGACGUCCCCCUUCGGGGGCAGAGUGACCAGUUGAUGCAUGGGUUGUCGUCAGCCUCAUGUCCUGAACAUGUUCGGGUUUAAGUCCCGCCACCGAUCCCCAACCCCUUG
rnacentral:rRNA from 1 species